ensembl:lncRNA
GUUUUUCAUAGCCACCGUGCUUCUACACCUGCAUUGCUUGCUGUUUGGGGUUUUAGGCUGGGUUUCUGUACAGCACUUUGAGAUAUCAGCUGAUGUACGAAGGGCUAUAUAAAUAAAUUUGAUUUAAUUUGAGCUGCCGGUUGCUAGGUGAUGGCUGGUGGAUGGGGUAGCAGGUUGCUAGGUGAGGGGUGGUGGAUGGGAUAGCAGGUCUCUUGUGGAUGGGUGGUGGUUUCUAGGUGAGGGGUGGUAGAUGGUAUAUCAGGUUGCUAGGUGAGGGGUGGUGGAUGGGAUAGCAGGUCUCUAGGGGAUGGGUGGUGGUUGCUAGGUGAGGGGUGGUAGAUGGUAUAGCAGGUCUCUAGGGGAUGGGUGGUGGUUGCUAGGUGAGGGGUGGUAGAUGGGAUAGCAGGUCUCUAGGGGAUGGGUGGUGGUUGCUAGGUGAGGGGUGGUGGAUG